GACGAACGCUGGCGGCGUGCUUAACACAUGCAAGUCGAACGGAAAGGCCCUGCUUUUGUGGGGUGCUCGAGUGGCGAACGGGUGAGUAACACGUGAGUAACCUGCCCUUGACUUUGGGAUAACUUCAGGAAACUGGGGCUAAUACCGGAUAGGAGCUCCUGCUGCAUGGUGGGGGUUGGAAAGUUUCGGCGGUUGUGGAUGGACUCGCGGCUUAUCAGCUUGUUGGUGGGGUAGUUGCUUACCAAGGCUUUGACGGGUAGCCGGCCUGAGAGGGUGACCGGCCACAUUGGGACUGAGAUACGGCCCAGACUGCUACGGGAGGCAGUAGGGGGGAAUAUUGCACAAUGGGCGGAAGCCUGAGGCAGCAACGCCGCGUGCGGGAUGACGGCCUUCGGGUGGUAAACAGAUUUCGCCGGAGACGAAGAGUGAGUGACGGUAAUGGGUAAAGAAGCACCGGCUAACUACGUG
rnacentral:rRNA from 1 species